rnacentral:rRNA from 1 species
GAUGAACGCUGGCGGCGUGCCUAAUACAUGCAAGUCGAGCGAACAGACGAGGAGCUUGCUCCUCUGACGUUAGCGGCGGACGGGUGAGUAACACGUGGAUAACCGACCUAUAAGACUGGGAUAACUUCGGGAAACCGGAGCUAAUACCGGAUAAUAUAUUGAACCGCAUGGUUCAAUAGUGAAAGACGGUUUUGCUGUCACUUAUAGAUGGAUCCGCGCCGCAUUAGCUAGUUGGUAAGGUAACGGCAUACCAAGGCAACGAUGCGUAGCCGACCUGAGAGGGUGAUCAGCCACACUGGAACUGAGACACGGUCCAGACUCCUACGGGAGGCAGCAGUAGGGAAUCUUCCGCAAUGGGCGAAAGCCUGACGGAGCAACGCCGCGUGAGUGAUGAAGGUCUUCGGAUCGUAAAACUCUGUUAUUAGGGAAGAACAAAUGUGUAAGUAACUAUGCACGUCUUGACGGUACCUAAACAGAAAGCCACGGCUAACUACGUG